GACGAUGCCAUGAGGGCCCUCUGUCUAGGGUGGAGGUGCUGUGGCUCCAACGGCAGCUAGGACAGCCCACUCCCUUCCAUGGCCAUGCAGAGCAGGCUCAAUGACGAGACAGGCACUCGGGGAUCAAGGGGAGUAGCAGGGGGGGGGGGGGGGGGGCACUGUGGCGCAAGCAGUAGCCCCGACCAUAUACAGGCUUGAACGCCCACGGGGACACAGGUUCGAAUCCGACCCGCUGUCAUUUCCCAAUCCCACUCCCCAACUCUUCUCUCCAUCUCAUUUCCUGUCCAAACCUUCACUGUCCUCUCAUUAAAAAGGCAAAAAGCCCAAAAACAAAUCCUUAAAAAAAGAAAAGGGGGAGUAGCAAGGGGAAUUUACAGGCUCGUGACAGUAACUGGGGAGCCACCAUCGUUGAGCCACCAUGUAGCAUCUGUACUUUGGUCACAUGGGGCUUUAGGCAUUGCUGCCCCCGUGUCGACGGAAGAAAUGGAUCACCGUCGUCGGACAACAGGUUGUUCCAACUCCGCCCCAGGGGGUCCAUUCCACCCCUUGUGCAGGCAGCUCGGGGUCAGCAUGCAGCGGAGGCGUUUUAUCCCUCUGCUCAGCCCAGUCCGCACUGCAGGGUUUUGCUUUCCUGGGACUGACCACCAGGGCAUGGUAAACUCCAGUUUUGCUGGUGUGUUGCUACCUAGCUUUGCAGAUGAAGUGUCUUUAGCUUUGCUAAUAGGAGUUCACUAUGGCUAAUGUUUAAUGACAAGCCAGGAGAAGCUAUUGUUCAGCGUAACUCUAGUUUGAUAACUAGCCAGUUUGACUGAAUUAUAACCACUGCUUGGGGACAGACUGGUUAAAGAUAGUUGUCGUUGUGGUAGUUGUUAAAGGCCGUGUCCAAUACCGCCAUGUAAGGAAUCAGCUCUGCUGUGUGGACAAUUAGAAUAAAACGUAGGCAGCCAUGACAAGAGGUUGCUUCUGAGCAGGAAGAGGUUGUUGAUUGACAUUCUGCCACUCUGGCAUCGUAUUAUAAAGCAGACUGGCCCCUCCCGGACAUCAGAUGUGGCCAGCCAAACAUGUCUGGUGUAGUGGUAGGGGGCCUAGUAGUGACAUAACCCCAUAGUGAACGAAAGAACCAUGACCACAUGAAGCUGGGAAGUAAAUCAUGAACCUAAGCACAGGAACACACGUGAGAUCCAGUUUCUAACCAGUGGGAUAGGCGAAAAAAAGGGAAUGAUUUCCUUUUAAAGUGUGCUUUUAAAGUGUGCUUUUAAAAUGCCGUGGGCCCCUGUGGUAGGCAUGUCAGCACGGGGCGAAACUGGGGACGUCAAUGUUUGCCAUCAAUCAGCCAAUCAGCCCCCGGAGACAGUGUAGACCUUCACAUACAACCCGCCAAUGCAUUCUGCACGAACACCACAACAACCCUCACUGCACAAGCACAAGAAGACUGGCCCAAAACACAUCCAAGCCAACAAACCUAUCCCAUGAAAAUACAGCGUUUUGGAGAGACUGUAGUGACUACACCUCCACCCCUCCACCCCACCCCACCCCACCCCCAGUCCACUCAAACACUACUCCAUAAUUACAGUUCUGGUGGCGUGACUGCCAUGACAGACAAACACAAAACAACUCCGGCUGAGGCUCCGCCCAGCUCACUGAGAUGUUGCUUAGAACCUGCUGGAAAAUUCCGCUGGCCUUCAGAGAGAAAGAGAGAGAGAAAGCUUGCUGUCAGACGCGUACAUGACAUGCUUGUGUUUCUGAUAAGGGCUAAACCAAAAUGCCUCACCAGGUUUGUCUCAUACACACUCUAACUCUCCCUCACACACUCACUCACACACACACUCACGCACACACUCACGCACACACUCAUGCACACACACACACACACUCAUGCACACACACACACACACACACACACACACAAACACAGGGGAGAAAGCCCUUCCUGGACACAUGCAGAGCACAAAGCAGCCUUUAUGUCCCCCGAAUUCAUCUUCACCGAUAUUUAUAAACCCAGUGAAAGGAGACUUUAUGGAGUGGACAGUGUGCUUUGCUGACAGUGUGCUUUGCUGUAACCAAGAUUAAGCAUUCAAAUAACUUCUGUACCACUCUACACUCGUUUGUGUAUGUGUGUGUGUGUGUGUGUGUGUGUGUGUGUGUGUGUGUGUGUGUGUGUGUGUGUGUGUGUAGGUAUUGUGCCGCCACAGUCCAUAUUCAUGUGAUGCAAAUCAACGACCUCCGUUUAUACCUGCGGCUCCCAGAGACACUAAGAACUUAAGCUUCGUGUUUUAUGCAAACGUGUUCCCAGAGUUCUCCAGGCUAGCGUUCCCUCGUGCAGCCACAGAUGCACGCUCACCUGUCACAGAUAGGUUAAACGCGCUGGGCAAAUUUAGCAGGCAGAGUUGCUGUUUAACCUGAAAAAAAAAAAACACAAAGUAACGACCGCAAAGUCUACUGAUGGAAGGGCUCGAGCCUCAUGUUUUCGGGCAAAAGUGGUUUGCUCAUCAGCUGACACAAAAUACAAAAAUUGAAAGUAAGAAGUAGGACACAUGGGUUUAGAGAUUCACAACACGGACAACAAACCUUUUCCAGGUACCUGGCUGGUGCAUACACCUCAAUGAACUGCCCACAAUUAGUAUCUACUGAUAAUGUGGCAAAUCUGGAAGAUAGUCAAUGCAACACAGAUAUUUCAUGGUUAGAAAUAAAGUGCCAAGCUGACAACACGAAGGGUGUGUCACAAAAAAAAAAUAUAGGCUUUUCAACCACCAAGUUUCGUAAACAAGUUGACUCCAAAGCUCUGAAAGCCAUUAUGGUUUUCAAUUUCGAUUACAUCAUUAAGAGCCAGCGUGGGAGACAGCUGCCUUAACCGUUUGAGGCAAGAGAACAAGAGAUUGCUUGAGUCAUCCAUAAUUAAUAUUUUAAUCGUCUUUCUCCCAGGCAUCACUGUUCAGUGAGCAUUGGAGAUCGAUGUUUCAUCUGUCCUGUAUUCCUCAGGAGCAGUGAUGCUUAUCUCAUGCGAAGAAAAGGCUAGGACCUUUUCACAGAUGCACCACACACAUAACCACAAUACAAAAACCUACAGGCUAAUCCUGAAACGAAAACAUGUAUACUUGCAUUCACAGCCCAAAAGCACACCUAUAUUCCUCCAAUUCAAAUAUUCAUGGAAGAGAACCAACACAUUACCAAAACAAACUCCAACUUGCCUUGUGAUGUCACCCCGGUGUCAAACAGACAGGCCAACGCAGUCCAGAGGCAAACAGGGCAAACAGCGGUGAUGGGACCCCAGCAGAGCCGAACGCAGGAGUGGCUGGGACCCCGGCAGAUCCAGACGCAGGGGUGUGUUUGUCUGAGAGGAGCUUGCCUUGUACUAAUGUUAUUUUUGAGCCUCAGCCAAACUUUCUCCUAGAAACUGAGCAGCAAAAACUAAGCUAACAGAGUCUAAAUGCACCUGGUGUCUUCCUUGGCCCGGGGGAGGGGGGGGGGGCGGGUAUGGUUGUGUUGGUGGUGGGCUCACCGACCAAUUUUCCAGGAAAGAAUGAUUUGAGCUUCAACCAUACGGCAUAAAAUGAAGCCACUAACAAUCAGCUUAGCCGUUAAACUGUUUGUCGUCACGUACUGACAAUUUUGGCAGAUGUGGAAAAUAACCUUGUAGGACCAGAAGGCUUAUCUAUGACAGUUGCCUCCAGCGAGUUGAUUGGCCGGGGGGGGGGGGG
ensembl:lncRNA